CGGGUGGUAAUGCCGGAUGUUCCACAUGAUCGCAUGUGAUUGUGGGAAAGAUUCUAUCGGCGUGGGAUGGGGUCGCGUCCUAUCAGCUUGUUGGUGAGGUAACGGCUCACCAAGGCUUCGACGGGUAGCCGGCCUGAGAGGGCGACCGGCCACAUUGGGACUGAGAUACGGCCCAGACUCCUACGGGAGGCAGCAGUGGGGAAUAUUGCACAAUGGGCGCAAGCCUGAUGCAGCGACGCCGCGUGAGGGAUGGAGGCCUUCGGGUUGUAAACCUCUUUUGUUUGGGAGCAAGCCUUCGGGUGAGUGUACCUUUCGAAUAAGCGCCGGCUAACUACGUGCCAGCAGCCGCGGUAAUACGUAGGGCGCAAGCGUUAUCCGGAUUUAUUGGGCGUAAAGGGCUCGUAGGCGGCUCGUCGCGUCCGGUGUGAAAGUCCAUCGCUUAACGGUGGAUCUGCGCCGGGUACGGGCGGGCUGGAGUGCGGUAGGGGAGACUGGAAUUCCCGGUGUAACGGUGGAAUGUGUAGAUAUCGGAAAAAAAAAC
rnacentral:rRNA from 1 species